GAUGCCUAGGCUCUCAGAGGCGACGAAGGACGUGAUAAGCUGCGAAAAACCGCGGGGAGCUGCACAUGAGCAUUGAUCCGCGGGUAUCCGAAUGGGGCAACCCGGCUGGUUGAAGGCCAGUCAUGCCGUAAGGCAGGCGAACCCGCCGAACUGAAACAUCUAAGUAGGCGGAGGAAGAGAAAACAAGAGUGAUUCCGAGAGUAGUGGCGAGCGAAAUCGGAUCGGCCCAAACCGUUGUUGUUCCGGCAAUGACGGGGUUGUAGGACCACAAUGUUCUUUGCGCGACGAACCGGAAGCAGUUGGAAAGCUGCACGAUAUGGGUGACAGUCCCGUACGGGCAAGGAGCGUUAAAGAUAGUGGUAUCCUGAGUAGCGCGGGGCACGUGAAACCCUGUGUGAAUCCGGCGGGACCAUCCGCCAAGGCUAAAUACUCCUGGGAGACCGAUAGUGAACCAGUACCGUGAGGGAAAGGUGAAAAGAACCGUGAACAACGGAGUGAAACAGACCCUGAAACCAUACGCCUACAAGCGGUCGGAGUCCCGAUUUAUCGGGAUGACGGCGUGCCUUUUGCAUAAUG
rnacentral:rRNA from 1 species